UACGAAGGUGCAAGCGUUAAUCGGAAUUACUGGCGUAAAGACGCGCGUAGGUGGUUCAGCAAGUUGGAUGUGAAAGCCCUGGGCGUCAACCUACGGGAACGUAGCAUCCAAAACCUAACUGAGCUAGAGUACGGUAGAGGUAGUGGAAUUCCUGUGUAGCGGUGAAAUGCGUAGAUAUAGGAAGGAACACCAGUGGCGAAGGCGACUACCUGGACUGAUACUGACACUGAGGUGCGAAAGCGUGGGGGAGCAAACCAGG
rnacentral:rRNA from 1 species